rnacentral:lncRNA from 1 species
GUGUUUCCCACUGUUUUAGUUUGUCAACUGGAAUUGUUGUUGUCUCAAUCGAUUUAUGAUUUUCGAACAGCGGUAUGCUACCUAUGUAGAUGAUGUACUUUCCCUACAUAAUUCAAAAUUGGGGGACUUUUUUGACUGCACAUGGAAUAAAUAAACUCAUCAUAUAUACCAGGAUUAAAAUUUUGUAUUUUCACCAGAUACACGUGUUGUCUAUAAAAGACUCAUCAGUGACGCUCGAAUAAAAAAAUGUUAACGGCCAAAUAAAGUACGAAUUUGUAGGGUAUUGAGGUCCAUUGAGAUUUGCCAAAUGCAGCUAAGGUAUUCUAAAAGCCUUAGUAUUUCAAAAAUUAAAAGUAUGGAAACUACUUAUAGAGUAAGAUCUGCAUAAUAUUUUGAUCAACAUAUAUAAUCAUAGGAUCAUGUAGUUUUAUGUAUUGACGCUUUAAUAAAUAAAAGGGAGCUAUAAUCUAUUAAAAAUGUAGAUUUGAUGACACUGCUGGAUGAGGUUUCCUCCCCGAUGGUAUCACUAACCCAGUAGUUAGAACUCUCUGUUUACCUGAUUUAACAUUAAUGUGUCAUCUUUAUAAAUGAGCAAUACAUCUAACUUUGAAUUGUGGAAACACAAAGAAUUUCAACCUCAGAAAUAGAUUACAUUAUCUGGUUUUUUUUUGCAUUAUCUUUCAGAACCGUUAGGCCACUGUUCUUCAACUUGGUACUCAACUGUUUUAAUUCAAGUGUCACUGGGGAGCUUUUAUGUAGACGAAACGCUCAUAUUGUGUAAAUUAUACGACUGGUAUCUUUAAUCCGCUUUUGUCAAUUAUAAACGGUAUUGUAGCCAUUAUAAUUCGUGGAUGUCAGGAAUUCAUACAACCUUAUGCGUAUAAAGAGCGGCGAAAUCCAAAGUGAAAUUCAAACUUAUGAGUUGAAAAAAAAUUGUCAACGCCAUGGCAAAAAAAAAAAAACCACCACAAACAGACAAACAAAGGAUAAAAUUAAACUAAACACUAAAAACAAAAAACGACUAAGUAAUAUGAACCCGACAAAAAGUACUCAAGAAGGGUAAACAGAUCCUGCUCCACAUGUAGCAUCGUCGUGCUUGUCAUGCAAGUAUAAACCCGGUUACAAAUGUAAUUCGUUAGGUAACAAUCGGGGAAAGUUGACGGGAUUGUACUUGCAACAAUUUGAACAUAUUUGUCGUCAUCUGAAAAACAGAUAUUUCAUAACGGUCUACCAACUCGUGAUUGCGUCCGUAAAAUUUAUAACGGGACGAUGUCAACUUAACCACUUUGAAAUCAUGAUAUGUAAUAGCGAUUUUGUGAGUCGCAACCCUAUAUCAAGAAAUCAUGAUAGAAAACGCAAGCCCUGGAAUAUCGUAUUAUCUGGAAAAUAUAUACUCCGUAUUCAAGCGCUUCUGGAAUGUUGUUACAUUGAAAUAACGCAUGAAACCAUAUUCCCGUCCCCAUCUAAAAGCAGAGAUGAUUUAAUUGUGAAACAGGAAAAUAAUUACAUAUUUAAAGCUAUAUCAAUCAUUUUGUUAUGAAGAAAACUGUAAAAAUAAGAACCAACAUCUAUUAACCCACAUAUGACUGUUAACAGUAAUACAUAUCAUUCAUAAAAAAUCUUAUUUGUAAACUGUUUGAACGUAAAAUUUAAAUACAGUUUACCCACGCUUACUAUAAGGAAAUACCAUAAGGAAAAAUAACCGAAAACCUGCCAUUGAGUCUAUAUUUUAAUUUCAAAAUUGAUUUUAAUAAUUCAUAUGACCUAUUGCUUAAAGAUGCAAUGACUGCCAAUCAACAUUUGACAAACGAUUCAUAAGAUGCGUUGUUUAAUAUGUAACAGAUAAUUAAAGCAAGUUAGGAGGGAAUAUUCUUGAAGGAAAACAAUGCACAGUUAAAUGAUGCUGUCCUUUUCGGUAUUAGUCAUUGAAAUUUAUCUUUAUGGUAACAGGGGAACUGUCAUAUUCUUAAUUUUAUGGGAGAAAAAUAUAAUAAUCAACCUAUAGUAUACUGUCAGAUAAUGAUUGCCCCUAUUUUCCAUAUUUAAGGUCAAACAACUAAUUGAUAAGGUGACUUAAUUUGUUACACACCAUAGGGGGUUCUGUAAUAAACCUGUAAGAAUGACAUUGACAGCAUGAUUCCUGAAAGUCAGAUAAACAGAUGUUUGAUUUGACUGAUUAAUAUUUUUAUCUUAGAUACAUGAGCUUUGUAUAUAGAAGAAGAUGCUUUAUUUGCAUAAAAUGGGCUCACAAGGAGCAUACUAUAAUAUCAUUAUAAUAUUAUUAUUUUACAAAUAAACAAUACAGUAUACAUAG